rnacentral:tRNA from 1 species
GAGGAUAUAGCUCAGUGGUAGAGUGCAUACCUAGCACGCAUGAGGUCAUGGGUUCAAUCCCCAGUUCCUCC